UGAGCAUCUGAGCAUGUAGCCACACUG
rnacentral:piRNA from 1 species